GUGAGUCACUGGCUGGGCAAGAGGGAGAAGCUCACAGUUGCUUAUCUCUGUAUCCUCAUCCGUUCACUCCGGUAACAGCCUGUGUGUGUAAUACUUUUAGGAUACUUGUUCUGUAGUCUGGAACAGGAUCUGGUGUUUGGCUAGGAUUACUUCUGUCAGCUGCUUCGGGAUCAUCUUAUAAAACGAUUCUGUCAAGGAACCAAGGAAAAAGUCAAGGAACAUGCUGUUCUCUGUGACAAAUAACCUGACUGCUGAAGGGUAUGUCUGAAUUUGCCUGCCAUAGUUCCUGAACCUUUUGGAUCUCCCCCAAGAACAAGGUUUGAACUGAUAACCUGUGUUUUUGCACAGUAGGCAAACCUCAUGCUGUUACAAGCUGAAGUGAGAUUGCCUCAGAUUUCACUUUCCCUCAUCUCAAGGAGCCCUUCAGUAGUAUGCCAUUAGAGAUAAUGUGAAGCUUUGAACUGAAACACUGUAGACACCAUGAUGCAUUACAACCUCUCCAGCCAAUGAAAUGCUGCAGUAUAACGGGACCUGCUCAGCCACACUAGCCCAUGUUAAGAGGAGAUAAAUACUUCCACAGAAAAUCGUGUCAAGGUGUGACACCUUCCCCAGCUAAGGAGCUGAAGGGGCUGUGUGAUUCUCUUCCGAGAAGGUGGAAGUCAACAUGUGUCAAGGUUGCAUAAAUUAAGACUGUGGACUAAAUACCUUUUGAAGUAGUUCUUGCUGCCAUGUAGUCCACAAAACGCCAUGGAUGGAGGGAUUGCAUGUUCUGUGAAUUAUGUACAUUUUGGAACACACGAGUGCAGAGGCAAAGGUACAACUGCCACUGCUGAACGCUAAACCGGUACACAGCACUUGGAGCUGGGAAUGCAGAUACUGGAUCUGCAAAGUCUUAGAGUAAACGAUCACAAUUAAAAAUCUUUUAAAUCUUUUAUGAAAGAUAUAGAAGAAAAGCAGACAAAGCUUUUUAUGUAAAGUAUUCAAGGAGACUUUCAUUUAAACAGCAUCCAUUAUUCCCCUUUCUUCUAGCUGAAGAGCAUUUUUAUGAGG